rnacentral:rRNA from 1 species
GAUGAACGCUGGCGGCGUGCCUAAUACAUGCAAGUCGAGCGAACGGACGAGAAGCUUGCUUCUCUGAUGUUAGCGGCGGACGGGUGAGUAACACGUGGAUAACCUACCUAUAAGACUGGGAUAACUUCGGGAAACCGGAGCUAAUACCGGAUGAUAUUUUGAACCGCAUGGUUCAAAAGUGAAAGACGGUCUUGCUGUCACUUAUAGAUGGAUCCGCGCUGCAUUAGCUAGUUGGUAAGGUAACGGCUUACCAAGGCAACGAUGCAUAGCCGACCUGAGAGGGUGAUCAGCCACACUGGAACUGAGACACGGUCCAGACUCCUACGGGAGGCAGCAGUAGGGAAUCUUCCGCAAUGGGCGAAAGCCUGACGGAGCAACGCCGCGUGAGUGAUGAAGGUCUUCGGGUCGUAAAACUCUGUUAUUAGGGAAGAACAUAUGUGUAAGUAACUGUGCACAUCUUGACGGUACCUAAUCAGAAAGCCACGGCUAACUACGUG